rnacentral:rRNA from 1 species
CGGAUUGUAGGCUGCAACUCGCCUACAUGAAGCUGGAAUCGCUAGUAAUCGCGGAUCAGAAUGCCGCGGUGAAUACGUUCCGGGUCUUGUACACACCGCCGUCACACCAUGGGAGUCGGAAAUGCCCGAAGUCUGUGACCUAACCGAAAGGGAGGAGCAGCCGAAGGCAGGUCUGAUGACUGGGGUGAAGUCGUAACAAGGUAAC